AUGCACCUAUCCUCAAGUGAGGUCACAGCUCCACCCAUGAGAGCCAGCUCGUGUUUUGAUCCAGCCCAGCUGCCUGAGGACAGGCCCAGGUGCUGGCCUCACAGGUUUUGGUUUGAGUCUCAGUCACUGUGGUAUGUUUUCGGCGGCGGAACCCAGCUCAGCGUCCUAGGUGGACCCAAGUCUUCUCCCAAAGUCACAGUGUUUCCGCCUUCACCUGAGGAGCUCCAGACAAACAAAGCCACACUGGUGUGUCUGGUCAAUGACUUCUACCCGGGUUCUGCAACAGUGACCUGGAAGGCAAAUGGAGCAACUAUCAAUGAUGGGGUGGAGACUACAAAGCCUUCCAAACAGGGCCAAAAGUACAUGACCAGCAGCUACCUAAGUUUGACAGCAGACCAGUGGAAAUCUUACAACAGGGUUUCCUGCCAAGUUACCCAUGAAGGGGAAACUGUGGAGAAGAGCUUGUCCCCUGCAGAAUGUCCCUAG